GACGAACGCUGGCGGCGUGCCUAAUACAUGCAAGUUGAGCGCUGAAGGUUGGUACUUGUACCAACUGGAUGAGCAGCGAACGGGUGAGUAACGCGUGGGGAAUCUGCCUUUGAGCGGGGGACAACAUUUGGAAACGAAUGCUAAUACCGCAUAAAAACUUUAAACACAAGUUUUAAGUUUGAAAGAUGCAAUUGCAUCACUCAAAGAUGAUCCCGCGUUGUAUUAGCUAGUUGGUGAGGUAAAGGCUCACCAAGGCGAUGAUACAUAGCCGACCUGAGAGGGUGAUCGGCCACAUUGGGACUGAGACACGGCCCAAACUCCUACGGGAGGCAGCAGUAGGGAAUCUUCGGCAAUGGACGAAAGUCUGACCGAGCAACGCCGCGUGAGUGAAGAAGGUUUUCGGAUCGUAAAACUCUGUUGGUAGAGAAGAACGUUGGUGAGAGUGGAAAGCUCAUCAAAUGACGGUAACUACCCAGAAAGGGACGGCUAACUACGUG
rnacentral:rRNA from 1 species